UCCUGUAUCGAAAGUGACUAUGGUGUGUUUGUGGCCAGGUCAUUGAUAGUACAGGAAAAUCAACCUAAGGAGCAUUUCCCGUGUUAAAAGGAUGUUUUGGUUCCUUUUCAACCCUGACGCUCCCUGACA